rnacentral:misc_RNA from 1 species
GUACCUUCAAGCUCUGCUUGGUGUUGGGUGUUUGUCUAGUCCGCGUGUCUAGACUCGCCUCAAAGUAAUUGGCAGCCAGUGUUUUGGUUUUGAAGCGCAGCACAAGUCGCGACUCAAGCCUAUAUCCACCAGCUUCCACAAGCCUAUUAUCAC